GCUCAGUUCCAGGAAGUCAAAUAAUGUCAGAGCCAAAGAGAGCUUGUUACUCUUUUGCUUUCAAGUACAGAGAAGCUGCUUUAUUCUCUAGCCAACUUCUUGAAAAAGGCUCAUGCUUUGGCUCCUUUACUCUCAAGGAGAGCAGAACAAAUAAUACAAACUCAAAGGAUCAAUGUGAAACACCAAGAUUCUCAGCUUCUACCUGUCAAUAUUUUGGGACCCAAAAUUGUAAGUGAAUGUGCAAGUAAAUCAGAAAACUGAUCUGGCCAGCACAGUGAAGGAUGGAUGGGAGAGGGUAUCCUUUAUAAGUUUGAAGAAUGGCCAGAAUCAAACAGAUUUAAGAAAUAGCGAUGGGCAGGACUUUGACUUCACCUACAAGGAGUCAAAAAGAAACGUAUGUCAUGGUGUCGCAGGGAGUAACAGCAGGAAUCUACCCAUUUCCUUUGCACAUCCUGUAACUCUCAAGGCAAAUCGUUUUCCAACAAAAGGCUGAGGUGAGUUGAGAAGAGGAGGAGAAGCGGAAUGGGAGCAAGAGGAAUCACUAAUAAAAACACUGGUGGAGCUUUUUCUUUGAAGACCAUGAAUUCUCCCCCUAUCUUUCAAAGGAAUUCUAUCCAGAUGGGGAACAAAUGUAGCUGGACGGAUUCUGAGCGGAGAAACUUGUGACUCAUUUGACUCAAAACUACAACCUUUUGAUGCAGGAAAAGACCUACCUAUUAGCCUGAAAGACAGUUCUCUCCUUACCUUGGGAACUUAAGGUUGGAAGUGAGAUCUUCUCCCCACUGAUGUUAGGUUAAACCCAUGUUUCAUACAUAAUCUUUAUUUUCAAGCCAGGCUUAGAUUCCUUGGGGCCCAGAUGUUCAUUUCCUGUUUCUGAGAGAUGUAGCUUAUACUCAAGAAUUUCACAUCCCCAAAUGAUAUUGAGGAGUUCAGAAGAAGGAAUGGUUGGUGUAUACCUGUAUGUGUCAAUAAAAGUUACAUAAGAAGGG